rnacentral:rRNA from 1 species
AUUGAACGCUGGCGGCAUGCCUUACACAUGCAAGUCGAACGGCAGCACGGGGCAACCUGGUGGCGAGUGGCGAACGGGUGAGUAAUGCAUCGGAACGUACCUUUCAGUGGGGGAUAACGUAGCGAAAGUUACGCUAAUACCGCAUAUUCUGUGAGCAGGAAAGCAGGGGAUCGCAAGACCUUGCGCUGAUUGAGCGGCCGAUGUCAGAUUAGCUAGUUGGUGAGGUAAAGGCUCACCAAGGCGACGAUCUGUAGCGGGUCUGAGAGGAUGAUCCGCCACACUGGAACUGAGACACGGUCCAGACUCCUACGGGAGGCAGCAGUGGGGAAUUUUGGACAAUGGGGGCAACCCUGAUCCAGCCAUGCCGCGUGAGUGAAGAAGGCCUUCGGGUUGUAAAGCUCUUUCGGCCGGGAAGAAAUCGCACGGGCUAAUACCUUGUGUGGAUGACGGUACCAGAAUAAGAAGCACCGGCUAACUACGUGCCAGCCGCCGCGGUAACAC